AAGUGCAAGCAAAUCACUUGGGACCUUGUUAAAUGCAAAUUAAAAUUCUUUUUUUUUUUCUUUUUUGAGACUGGGUCUCUCUAUUGCCCAGGCUGGAGUGCAGUGGCACAAUCAUAGCUCAUUGCAGCCUCCACCUCUUGUGGCUCAGUUGAUCGUCCCACCUCAGCCUCCUGAGUAGCUGGGACUAUAGGCAUGCACCACCAUGCCCAGCUAAUUUUUGCAUUUUUUUGUAGAGAUGAGGUUUCACUACAUUGCCCAAGCUGGUCUCGAACUCUUCCUGCCUCGGUCUCCCAAAGUGCUGGGAUGACAGAAGUGAGCCACCGCGCCUGGCCAGAUUUUGCCUUCCUAACAAGCCCUCGUGUGCUGCUGAAGCUGGGGAUCCACAGGUCUCACCUUGCAUGGCCACACCUACCUGUUUCCUCUCCUCAAAGUUGACAGAUGUGCCAGGGAUGUGACAGGUAAUGUGACCAAGGUUUGCCUUGGUGCUAGAGGAGCCGGAGGGGGCGACCACCUAACUGCCCAGGGGAGGUAAAGGAGACCUCCCUGAAAGAUGGUACAGUCAAGAUGACCUAGCUGUAACCUGGCUACUAGAGGACCAAGGAGAAAAAUAAACUUCUACCACGCUUUCGAAAACAAGCACUCAAACUCAGGAGAUACUUGAUUGAAGUUGAAAGAGUGGUGCAUUCCCCAAGGCAGUACCCUCAUGAAUGGGAUUAGUGUCCUUUAAUAAAAGAGACCCAAGAGAGGUCCCUUGCUCCUUCCAGCAUGUGAGAUUACAGCAAAAAGAUGCUGUCUAUGAACCAGAAAGUGGGCCCUCACCAGACACUGAAUCUGUCGGCACCUUGAUCUUGGAUUUCCCAGCUUCCAGAAGUGGGAGAAAUAAAUUUCUCUUGUAAAUAAGAUAAACAGUUUAUGAUAUUUUAUUAUAGCAGCCCCAAGGGACUAAGACAGAAAUCCAGUUGUACACCAGAUGGUUGUAACACGUUCAGUGGAAUGAAAACCUUGUGUCUUGGCAGGGUGCAGUGGCUCAUGCCUGUAAUCCCAACGCUUUGGGAGGCUGAGGUGGGAGGGUCACUUGAGGCCAGGUGUUCAAGACCAGCCUGGGCAACAUAAGGAGAUGUCCAGAUAGCCGGCAAAACAGUGUUCCUGGGUAGGCCUGUGAUGGUGUUUCCAGAAGAAAUUAGUGCUGUGAGUCGGUAGAGUGAGUAAAAAAGAGUCUCUUAAAAAAAAUGUUGGCCGGGCACGGGGCUCACGCCUGUAAUCCUAGCACUUUACAAGGCUAAGGCAAGUGGAUCACUUGAGGUCAGGAGUUCGAGACCAGCCUGGCCAACAUGGUGAAACCCCAUCUCUACUAAAAAAUACAAAAAUUAGCUAGGAAUGGUGGUGUGUGCCUGUAGUCCCAGCUGCUCAGGAGGCUGAGGCAUGAGAAUCACUUGAACUCAGGAGGUGGAGGUUGCAGUGAGCCGAGAUCGUGCCACUGCACUCCAGCCUGGGUGUGGUGGUAUGCACCUGUAGUCCCAGCUACUCAGGAGGCUGAGGCAGGAAGAUCGCCUGAGCCCAGGAGAUUGAGGCUGCAGCACUCCAGCCUGGGCAACAGAGCAAGAUCUGGUUUCCAAAAAACCCAAAAAAACCUUGUGUCUUCAUGUGGAGAUUAAGUAUGGUUUAAGGAGAUGUGUAUGGAUGACAAGUUCAAAAAGGAUGGUCGUGUGAUGGUUAAUUUUAUGUGUCAGUUUGACUGAGCUAAGGGAUGUCCAGAUAGCUGGCAAAACAGUGUUCCUGGGUAGUCCUGUGAUGAUGUUUCCAGAACAAAUUAGCAUUGUGAGUUGGUAGAUUGAGUGAAAAAGAUCCUCCCAGGUGGAUCGCGAGGUCAGGAGAUCGAGACCAUCCUGGCUAACACGGUGAAACCCCAUCUCUACUAAAAAUACAAAAAAUUAGCUGGGCAUGGUGGCGGGUGCCUGUAGUCCCAGCUACUCAGGGGGCUGAGGCAGAAGAACGGCGUGAACCCGGGAGGCAGAGCUUGCAGUGAGCGGAGAUUGCACCACUGCACUCCAGCCUGGGCGAGAGAGUGAGACUCUGUCUCAGAAAAAAAAAAAAAAAUUAGAAAAAGAUCCUCCCUGUCAGUGGGUAUCAUCCACUGUUGAGUGGACAAAAGGUGGAAGAGGGGCGAAUCUGCUCUUUCUGGGCUGACAUCCAUUUUCUCUUGCCCUUGGAGGUCAGUGCUCCUAGCUCUUGCUUUUGGGCUUAGACUGGGACUUACAUCAUUGUGCCUCUGGUCCUCAGUCUUCAGAUUCAGACUGAAUUAUACCACCAGCUUUCCUGGUUUUUCAGCUUGCAGAUGGCAGAUCCUGGGACUUCUUGGCCUCCAUAACUGCAUGAGCCAAUUCCCAUAAUAAAUCUACACUUGAUCUUAGCCACAAGGCCGAGAAACGAUCAAUUCCUAUAAUAAAUCUCUCUUAUAAUAUCCUGUUGGUUCUGUUUCUCUGGAGAACCCUGACUAAUAUACCUUUUUUUUUUUUUUUUUUUUUUUUUUGAGACAGUCUUGCUCUGUUGCCCGGGCUAGAGCACAGUGGUGCCAUCACAGCUCACUGCAACCUCCAUCUCCCAGGUUCAAAUGAUUCUCCUGCCUCAGCGUCCCGAGUAGCUGGGAUUACAGGCACCUGCCACUAUGCCUGGCUAAUUUUUGUAUUUUUAGUACAAAUGGGGUUUCAUCAUGUUGGCCAGGCUGAUCUCGAACCCCUGACCUCAAGUGACCUGCCCGCCUCAGCCUCCCAAAAUGCUGCAAUUACAGGCAUGAGCCACCGCGCCCGGCCCUAAUACACCUUUUAACCUAAAAUUUCAGGACUUUCUUUACUUAGAAAAUUAUAUACACAUAUAUAGCUGUGAUUGUGCCACUGCAAUCCAGCCUGGGCGACAGAGUGAGCCCUUGUCUCAAAAGAAAAAAAAAGUUUGGUAUAUAAUCUUCCAAUCCCUUUCUAUGAAUUUAAAUGUUUAUUUUCUACCUAGUAAUCUUAUUUUUUUUAAUUCUUUAUUUCCUAGAUAAUGUUCAUUGAACCUUUUUGUAUUGAGAAAUUUUAAGGCACAUUUAAAAAAUAUAUUCUAACCAGGCACCGUGGCUAUCUUAGCACUUUAGGAGGCUGAGGCGGGUGAUCAGUUGAGGUCAGGAGUUCAAGACCGGCCUGAUGGUGAAAACCCUGUCUCUACAAAAAAUACAAAAAUUAGCCGGGCACAGUGGUGUGACCCUGUAAUCCCAGAUACUGGGGAGGCUGAGGCAUGAAAAUUGCUUGAACAUGGGAGACAGAGGUUGCAGUGAGCCAAGAUUGCACCACUGCACUCCAGCCUGGGCGACAGAGUGAGGCUCUGUCUCCAAAAAUAAUAAGAAGAAAGAGAGAGAGAGAGAAACAAACAAACAAACAGAGGCAAAAUUAAUAUAAGUAGCAUUUUUUGUUGUGGUUGUUGUUUUCUUCCUGAGACAGAGUUUUGCUCUUACGCCCAGGCUGAAGUGCAAUGGCCAUGAUCUCCGCUCACCACAACCUCCGCCCCCAGGGUUCAAGCGAUUCUCCUGCCUGAGCUGGAGAUUACAGGCACCCACCACCACCACGCCCAGCUAAUGUUGUAGUUUUAGUAGAGACAGGGUUUGGCUAUGUUGGACAGGCUGGUCUCGAACUCCUGACCUCAGGCGAUCCACCCACCUCGGCCUCCCAAAGUGCUAGGAUUAUAGGCCUGAGCCACUGCACCCAGCCCCGUUUUUUUUGUUUGUUUGUUUGUUUUUUUUUUUUUUUUAUUUUUAUUUUUUAUUUUUUAUUUUUUAUUUUUAUUGAUCAUUCUUGGGUGUUUCUCGCAGAGGGGGAUUUGGCAGGGUCAUAGGACAAUAGUGGAGGGAAGGUCAGCAGAUAAAC
rnacentral:lncRNA from 1 species